rnacentral:rRNA from 1 species
AGGUCACUGCUAUCGGUGUUCGAUUAAGCCAUGCGAGUCGUGAGGGGUAAAGCCCUCGGCGGAGUGCUCAGUAACACGUGGACAACCUACCCAAGAGUCAGGGAUAACCCCGAGAAACUGGGGAUAAUACCUGAUAGGCCAUGACAUCUGGAAUCGAGUUGUGGUUUAAACGUAAGGCUCUUGGAUGGGUCUGCGGCGGAUUAGGUUGUUGCCGGUGUAACGUACCAGCAAGCCUGUAAUCCGUACGGGUUGUGGGAGCAAGAGCCCGGAGAUGGAUUCUGAGACACGAAUCCCGGCCCUACGGGGCGCAGCAGGCGCGAAAACUCUACAAUGCAGGCAACUGCGAUAGGGGAACAUCGAGUGGCAUCCACCAUGGAUGUCUGUCCAAUCGUCUAAAAAACGAUUGUCAGCAAGGGCCGGGCAAGACCGGUGCCAGCCGCCGCGGUAAUACCGGCGGCUCGAGUGGUGGCCGAUAUUAUUGAGUCUAAAGGGUCCGUAGCCGGCUUUGCAAGUCCUAUGGGAAAUCCAGCGGCUUAACCGUUGGGCUUUCAUGGGAUACUACAUUGCUUGGGACUGGGAGAGGUAGGAGGUACUCAGGGGGUAGGGGUGAAAUCCUGUAAUCCUUUGGGGACCACCGGUGGCGAAGGCGUCCUACCAGAACAGGUCCGACGGUGAGGGACGAAAGCUAGGGGCACGAACCGGAUUAGAUACCCGGGUAGUCCUAGCCGUAAACGAUGCUCGCUAGGUGUCACGGCAGUCGUGAAUUGUCGUGGUGCCGUAGGGAAGCCGUGAAGCGAGCCACUUGGGAAGUACGACCGCAAGGUUGAAACUUAA